GUGGGGAAUAUUGGACAAUGGGCGAAAGCCUGAUCCAGCCAUGCCGCGUGCAGGAUGAAGGCCUUCGGGUUGUAAACUGCUUUUGUACGGAACGAAAAGACUCCUUCUAAUAAAGGGGGUCCAUGACGGUACCGUAAGAAUAAGCACCGGCUAACUACGUGCCAGCAGCCGCGGUAAUACGUAGGGUGCAAGCGUUAAUCGGAAUUACUGGGCGUAAAGCGUGCGCAGGCGGUUAUAUAAGACAGAUGUGAAAUCCCCGGGCUCAACCUGGGAACUGCAUUUGUGACUGUAUAGCUAGAGUACGGUAGAGGGGGAUGGAAUUCCGCGUGUAGCAGUGAAAUGCGUAGAUAUGCGGAGGAACACCGAUGGCGAAGGCAAUCCCCUGGGCCUGCACUGACGCUCAUGCACGAAAGCGUGGGGAGCAAACAGGAUUAGAAACCCUGGUAGUCC
rnacentral:rRNA from 1 species